UACGGAGGGUGCAAGCGUUACUCGGAAUCACUGGGCGUAAAGGACGCGUAGGCGGUCAGAUAAGUUGGAUGUGAAAUCCUAUGGCUUAACCAUAGAACUGCAUCCAAAACUGUCUGACUAGAAUGAGGGAGAGGUCAGUGGAAUUAGUGGUGUAGGGGUAAAAUCCGUAGAGAUCACUAGGAAUACUCAUUGCGAAGGCGACUGACUGGAACUUUAUUGACGCUGAGGCGUGAAAGCGUGGGGAGCAAACAGGAUUAGAUACCCUGGUAGUCCACGCCCUAAACGAUGUACACUAGUUGUUGGGAUGCAAGUCAUCUCAGUGAUGCAGCUAACGCAUUAAGUGUACCGCCUGGGGAGUACGGUCGCAAGAUUAAAACUCAAAGGAAUAGACGGGGACCCGCACAAGUGGUGGAGCAUGUGGUUUAAUUCGAAGAUACGCGAAGAACCUUACCUGGGCUUGACAUCCCGAGAAUCAUCCAGAGAUGGAUGAGUGCCAGUUUACUGGAGCUCGGUGACAGGUGCUGCACGGCUGUCGUCAGCUCGUGUCGUGAGAUGUUGGGUUAAGUCCCGCAACGAGCGCAACCCUCGUCCUUAGUUGCUAACAGUUCGGCUGAGCACUCUAAGGAGACUGCCUCCGCAAGGAGGAGGAAGGUGAGGACGACGUCAAGUCAUCAUGGCCCUUAUGCCCAGGGCGACACACGUGCUACAAUGGGGAGGACAAUGAGAAGCGAUACCGCGAGGUGGAGCAAAUCUAUAAACCUUCUCUCAGUUCGGAUUGCACUCUGCAACUCGAGUGCAUGAAGCUGGAAUCACUAGUAAUCGUAGAUCAGCCAUGCUACGGUGAAUACGUUCCCGGGUC
rnacentral:rRNA from 1 species